ensembl:lncRNA
GGGCGGGAUGAACAUGGCGGCGCGUCGGGGGCCAGGGCUCUCAGGGCUCGCCAUUGCAGCUGGGAAUGCUCGUUUCGUGGGCUCCUGGGUCCCCGUCGAUUGGCAUCCAGCGAGCAGAGCGCAGGGCUGUGGGCCACAGAACUUGGGCUCUGGAGCAUGCAAACUUCAAGAGCUGUUCAAGGGCUUCGUUGCCCCUGGGCGUGUGGAAUCUCCUACACAGGAAUUGAACCCGUGUUCCCUGCAUCGUAGGUCAUCCAGAGGACCCAAGACAUGGUGGUUACUAAUAGACUUCCCACACUACUUCUUCAUUCCACCUUCCCUUGAACUUCAUCUGGAUUUAAUGACAACAGGCUCAACUUUUCAUUCACUUGUAUGACUAUGAGCAGUUUGACCAAGUUGAAGAAGAUGACUCGUUUGUAGUCUUCCUCAUCAGCUCAUUCCAUCUACUGGCUUUAAAAUCAUUUAGUACAGAGCUCACCGUCUAGGUGUUCAUCCAGUGUUUUGUUUGCUUAUCAUGCAGGAUCAUUUUAAAAGGGAAAGUAUGUGUGUAUGAGUUAGAGCUCUGAUCCCAGGAGUCCAUGUAGAAGCUUCCCCUGAGAAAUGUAUCGUUUUUGCACCAAUGCUACUGAAAUGUGUGAAUGUGGUAUACCACGCGUCCCAAUAAGUGUAAACAGCGUCAUAGGCUACUUAUUUGAAAUGACCAGUACUCAUGACAUUCCAUUCAACUGAGGACUAAAUAUAGCCAACGUAGGCUGUGUUUGCCAAAUAGACUUUGAAGUAUUCUUCACACAGUCCUUCAUCGAUGCCAGUUUUCAGAUCGAAGAAACCCUUGCUCCAUGAAGUUUGUGAACACAUAUACUCAUGUUUUGUUUGAGAUUUUAAAGUCAUUCUUCAGUUUUGUUGGAGGAAUGGUUCUGUAUAUGCCCCGUGGAUCCCCAAAUCCACUGAUGUUCAUGUGUCUUGGGGCUUCCCAGGUGGUUCUAGUGGUAAAGAACUUCGCACAGCACAUGAUUCGUUGUCAUAGCUAAUAUAAUGGAGAUGACAUAAAAAGAAGCACCAGCGGGCGAAAGUCAAUAUCCAUCACUUUUAAACUUUGGAAUGUAUUGUGAUAUUUUACAUCCAUAUUUGUAUGACUUGAUAGUUGGAGAAUCGAUGCAUGUGAAGGCCUGGUUUUGUUAUAUGUAUGUUGAGGGAAGAUAUAUUUUUAUGUGGUUUGACAUAUAGGUCCCAUUUCAUUCGUAGACAUAUGCAUACUCAUCACUUAUCAUCAUUUUUUUUUUUUGAAAAGACCAUUGUUUGGAAAGGUUGUUGUCUAACCAUGAAAGAUGCUUGAAUUCUUGGGCUCCUUAGAGGAAGAAUUCAACCCGGGGCCAGUGAUGAGGCUUGAUCAGUCAGAGCUUUUGUGUCCCAACGUUUUAUUAAAGUAUAAAAGAGAGAAAGCUUCUGACAUAGACAUCAGAAGGGGGCAGAAAGAGUGCCCCCCUACUCAUCUUUGGCUGGAUGUUAUCUAGCUACUAGCAGUCUACUCAUUAGAGAAAGGAAUGGCAGCAGACCCCUCACCCACAAGAUAUAUGGAGAUGACCGUGGCACCAGGUGAGUCAUCCUGGGCCAUAAAACGAUUGAUAUGAGCAAAUGGAUAGCUUCAUUCACAUAGAUCAGGAGAGCCAUGUAUGAGUAAAGCAUAUUGGUUUGUCAAGUCAGUUCUGAGCCUUUAGGCAGAACCUACUUGAAGAUAGAGUCUAGGGUAAAUACAUAGUACAUUCACAUAGCUUAAGGCAAACCUUUCCAUGAGAAAAAUGCCUUGGUCAGCUCAAAGUAUGAGAAAAGUGAAGUUCAGGCGGAACCAGGUGUCAUCAUAGCAACACAGAAUUGUAAGAGAAAAAUCUCUUUUUAAAUUUGUAUCAAGAAGGGGAAAAAAGAUAACAGCUUGUUUCCUCCUGCCUCGGAAGUGACAGAUAACAACUGUCUGACACUUGCACCCCAUUUCCUCCCUUUGGAGACCUCUGGCCUUCCUGGCUGUUACCCUCUCAGUUUCAUUCAUUGAGCGUUUUCUGCCUUGUGAAACAUUGGGCAUAGAAGUAUGUGUUUAUUUAGGGGUAUUUCAUCCAAUUUCAUUUAAAUGCAUAUGUGAAUUAGAAAGUUUGACAUGCUGUUGCUUUGUAUACCGAUUGGGAAAUGUGAGCCUCCAAGCUUAAUUUAGUUUUUCAUGUUCAUUUUUCUUUUCAGGGGUACAAAGAAAAAUAAUAUGACUGUUAAGAUCAGCUUUCGUAUUUUUUGCCAAAUAUGAAUUGGGAUCACAUCGAUCAGAGAUGAGUCUGUGCAUGAAAGCCCUAAUAACUAAUGCUAAUUGACUUCACUACCAUGGGAUGUUUUCAUAUCUAUUGAGGAUUUACUUCAUGUAUUUCGAUUUUAACUUUCUGUCUUACAGCCUUGUUUGUAGAUCAAAGCUAUUUGAAAUUGUCAUCUGGUUUCAAAUGGCUUGUGAGGUUAUUCAUGAGUGGUUUAUAAAACCGAAUGGAUUGUACGUAGCCAUACUUUGUUGUCAUUCUAUGAAUUUGAAGAAUGUCUGAAGAAUGUCUGCAGUUAUGCCUUAAAGAUUCAUACAAUUGAAGUCCAAUAUUUAUCUCAAUAGACUUGCUUUCAAUUUGUAGUUUCCUAUGCGUAUGUCUUUCUUUAUGGAUUUGGGUAGAACUUGUAUUGGAACACUGAAAAAUCUGUGAUAUCAACCGUGCUGACCUUUCUGGUGGUCAUCAUUAAGAUUUUCACGCUCUAUGGAUCCUAGUGGAAACAGGUGCUGUUCAUCCUACUUUUGUGAAGAUUGAACUCAUCGUAGAAAGUGG